rnacentral:rRNA from 1 species
CCUUGUACACACCGCCCGUCACACCAUGGGAGUUGGUUUCACCCGAAGGUGGUGCGCUAACCCGUAAGGGAGGCAGCCAACCACGGUGGGAUCAGCGACUGGGGUG